AUGUUGCAGAAAACUAGCCAUUAUGCUAUCCUUUACUUGGGGUCGACUCUUUUUUUCUGGAGUCGACUCCUUUUGACUUUGAGUUAGCUCGAGUUUGUCAUGAGUCAGGUCAGUUUGCAGGAUCUAAAAAAUAGCACUCUGUUUUCUUUGAGAGAGCUGGCUUGGAUCCUUUUCGAGUCGGCUCACUUACAUGCCAGUCUUCUCUAGCAUGC
rnacentral:lncRNA from 1 species